rnacentral:rRNA from 1 species
UUAAGCGAACAAGCGUACACGGUGGAUGCCCUGGCAGUCAGAGGCGAUGAAGGACGUGCUAAUCUGCGAAAAGCGCCGGUAAGGUGAUAUGAACCGUUAUAACCGGCGAUGUCCGAAUGGGGAAACCCGGUGCACUUCGGUGCAUCAUCGUUAGCUGAAUACAUAGGCUAACGAAGCGAACCGGGGGAACUGAAACAUCUAAGUACCCCGAGGAAAAGAAAUCAACCGAGAUUCCCCCAGUAGCGGCGAGCGAACGGGGAACAGCCCAGAGCCUGAAUCAGCUUGUGUGUCAGUGGAACGGUCUGGAAAGGCCGGCGAUACAGGGUGACAGCCCCGUACACGAAGGCACACAGGCUGUGAGCUCGAUGAGUAGGGCGGGACACGUGAUAUCCUGUCUGAAGAUGGGGGGACCAUCCUCCAAGGCUAAAUACUCCUGACUGACCGAUAGUGAACCAGUACCGUGAGGGAAAGGCGAAAAGAACCCCGGCGAGGGGAGUGAAACAGAACCUGAAACCGUGUACGUACAAGCAGUGGGAGCCUUCGUAAGAGGGUGACUGCGUACCUUUUGUAUAAUGGGUCAGCGACUUAUAUUCUGUAGCAAGGUUAACCGUAUAGGGGAGCCGAAGGGAAACCGAGUCUUAAUUGGGCGUUAAGUUGCAGGGUAUAGACCCGAAACCCGGUGAUCUAGCCAUGGGCAGGUUGAAGGUUGGGUAACACUAACUGGAGGACCGAACCGACUAAUGUUGAAAAAUUAGCGGAUGACCUGUGGCUGGGGGUGAAAGGCCAAUCAAACCGGGAGAUAGCUGGUUCUCCCCGAAAGCUAUUUAGGUAGCGCCUCGUGAACUCAUCUCCGGGGGUAGAGCACUGUUUCGGCUAGGGGGCCAUCCCGGCUUACCAACCCGAUGCAAACUGCGAAUACCGGAGAAUGUUAUCACGGGAGACACACGGCGGGUGCUAACGUCCGUCGUGAAGAGGGAAACAACCCAGACCGCCAGCUAAGGUCCCAAAGUCAUGGUUAAGUGGGAAACGAUGUGGGAAGGCCCAGACAGCCAGGAUGUUGGCUUAGAAGCAGCCAUCAUUUAAAGAAAGCGUAAUAGCUCACUGGUCGAGUCGGCCUGCGCGGAAGAUGUAACGGGGCUAAACCAUGCACCGAAGCUGCGGCAGCGACACUGUGUGUUGUUGGGUAGGGGAGCGUUCUGUAAGCCUGCGAAGGUGUGCUGUGAGGCAUGCUGGAGGUAUCAGAAGUGCGAAUGCUGACAUAAGUAACGAUAAAGCGGGUGAAAAGCCCGCUCGCCGGAAGACCAAGGGUUCCUGUCCAACGUUAAUCGGGGCAGGGUGAGUCGACCCCUAAGGCGAGGCCGAAAGGCGUAGUCGAUGGGAAACAGGUUAAUAUUCCUGUACUUGGUGUUACUGCGAAGGGGGGACGGAGAAGGCUAUGUCGGCCGGGCGACGGUUGUCCCGGUUUAAGCGUGUAGGCUGACUUUCCAGGCAAAUCCGGAAAGUUAAGGCUGAGGCGUGAUGACGAGGCACCACGGUGCUGAAGUGACAAAUGCCCUGCUUCCAGGAAAAGCCUCUAAGCAUCAGGUAACAUCAAAUCGUACCCCAAACCGACACAGGUGGUCAGGUAGAGAAUACCAAGGCGCUUGAGAGAACUCGGGUGAAGGAACUAGGCAAAAUGGUGCCGUAACUUCGGGAGAAGGCACGCUGACAUGUAGGUGAAGCCCCUGCGGGUGGAGCUGAAGUCAGUCGAAGAUACCAGCUGGCUGCAACUGUUUAUUAAAAACACAGCACUGUGCAAACACGAAAGUGGACGUAUACGGUGUGACGCCUGCCCGGUGCCGGAAGGUUAAUUGAUGGGGUUAUCGCAAGAGAAGCUCCUGAUCGAAGCCCCGGUAAACGGCGGCCGUAACUAUAACGGUCCUAAGGUAGCGAAAUUCCUUGUCGGGUAAGUUCCGACCUGCACGAAUGGCGUAAUGAUGGCCAGGCUGUCUCCACCCGAGACUCAGUGAAAUUGAACUCGCUGUGAAGAUGCAGUGUACCCGCGGCAAGACGGAAAGACCCCGUGAACCUUUACUACAGCUUGACACUGAACAUUGAGCCUUGAUGUGUAGGAUAGGUGGGAGGCUUUGAAGCGUGGACGCCAGUCUGCGUGGAGCCGACCUUGAAAUACCACCCUUUAAUGUUUGAUGUUCUAACCUGGCGCCGUGAUCCGGCGUGGGGACAGUGUCUGGUGGGUAGUUUGACUGGGGCGGUCUCCUCCCAAAGUGUAACGGAGGAGCACGAAGGUCAGCUAAUCCUGGUCGGACAUCAGGAGGUUAGUGCAAUGGCAUAAGCUGGCUUGACUGCGAGAGUGACGGCUCGAGCAGGUGCGAAAGCAGGUCAUAGUGAUCCGGUGGUUCUGUAUGGAAGGGCCAUCGCUCAACGGAUAAAAGGUACUCCGGGGAUAACAGGCUGAUACCGCCCAAGAGUUCAUAUCGACGGCGGUGUUUGGCACCUCGAUGUCGGCUCAUCACAUCCUGGGGCUGAAGUAGGUCCCAAGGGUAUGGCUGUUCGCCAUUUAAAGUGGUACGCGAGCUGGGUUUAGAACGUCGUGAGACAGUUCGGUCCCUAUCUGCCGUGGGCGCUGGAGAAUUGAGGGGGGCUGCUCCCAGUACGAGAGGACCGGAGUGGACGCAUCACUGGUGUUCGGGUUGUCAUGCCAAUGGCACUGCCCGGUAGCUAAAUGCGGAAGAGAUAAGUGCUGAAAGCAUCUAAGCACGAAACUUGCCCCGAGAUGAGUUCUCCCUGAGACUGUAAGUCUCCUGAAGGAACGUUGAAGACGACGACGUUGAUAGGCCGGGUGUGUAAGCGCAGCGAUGCGUUGAGCUAACCGGUACUAAUGAACCGUGAGGCUUAACCUU